ACUCAAAGGAAUUGACGGGGGCCCGCACAAGCAGUGGAUUAUGUGGUUUAAUUCGAAGCAACGCGAAGAACCUUACCAGGGCUUGACAUGGAAUAGACAGAGGUAGAGAUAUCUUUUCCCUUCGGGGCUAUUCACACAGGUGGUGCAUGGUUGUCGUCAGCUCGUGUCGUGAGAUGUUGGGUUAAGUCCCGCAACGAGCGCAACCCCUAUUGUUAGUUGCUACGCGAGAGCACUCUAGCGAGACUGCCGUUGACAAAACGGAGGAAGGCGGGGACGACGUCAAAUCAUCAUGCCCCUUAUGUCCUGGGCUACACACGUAAUACAAUGGCGCUAAACAGAGGGAAGCGAGACCGCGAGGUGGAGCGAAUCCCCAAAAGGCGUCUCAGUUCGGAUCGCAGGCUGCAACCCGCCUGCGUGAAGUCGGAAUUGCUAGUAAUCGCGGAUCAGCAAGCCGCGGUGAAUACGUUCCCGGGCCUUGUACACACCGCCCGU
rnacentral:rRNA from 1 species